CAGAUGGAUCUACUAAAAUCCAAAUCUAGUUGGAAUGCAUGGAGUCAAUUUCUGACUUCAUUGUUUUCAUCUAUUUUUUAGAGUCUACAUCUAAUAUCACUUCAUCAUAGGUCUUGGGAUCAUUCCUAAUAUCCCUAUCUUCCAUAAGGAAUGCUUUCUCUAGAUCCUUUGUGAGAAUACCUAAGUACCUUUCAGGAGGAUGGGAGAUCUUACUAAAUCUACGAGGUAGAGGAGGUACCACAUCAAUUGGCUCACUAACGGAUUCAGAUUUUUGGACUUGAUGCUCUUAAGAGAUCUUCUCUUCGAAUUCAAUCUUCCUUCUACUGCCUCCAUCUUGGAUAAAUUCUUUUUUCAAGAAGAUGGCAUGAUGGAUCACUAUCAUAUUGUGAUCCUUUGGAAGAUAGAAAUAGUAUUCCAUAGACUCCUUAGGAUAUCUAUUAAACGAUCCCUAUAAUUUAGCUAAGCUACAGCAAGCGGACAA
rnacentral:lncRNA from 1 species